UACGUAGGGUGCAAGCGUUGUCCGGAAUUACUGGGCGUAAAGCGUGCGCAGGCGGUUUUGUAAGUUUGUCGUGAAAGCCCCGGGCUCAACCUGGGAAUUGCGAUGAAGACUGCAAGGCUUGAAUCUGGCAGAGGGGGGUAGAAUUCCACGUGUAGCAGUGAAAUGCGUAGAGAUGUGGAGGAAUACCGAUGGCGAAGGCAGCCCCCUGGGAUAACACUGACGCUCAUGCACGAAAGCGUGGGGAGCAAACAGG
rnacentral:rRNA from 1 species